CUUGGCCGUUGUGUUCGUAUGCUCUUCACCCUGCUCCUGCCCACUCUGCUUGUCACCUUUCCUCAGUCCUGAAAGAUCCUUAGUGCCUGGAUUUUGUCAUCCAGCCCUGCAGGAUGCUCCCAUUUCUCCUGACGAUGGCUGUCCCAGAGGGAGAAGAGGAGAUGGAGGUGGAUAUAGAGAUUGAUAGAGAGGAGGACAUGGAGACGGAGGGAGAAGACACUGGGGAGGAGGAGAUGGAGGUGGAGGUGGAGGUGACGGUGGAAGAAGAGAUGGAUGUGGAUAUGGAAGAGUCCAUUGAGGACAUGGACAUUGAUUAAAAAGGUCUCCUUGCAUUUGCUUCAGGCACAGGCAGCAUAUUGCCAAGGUGUAGUUUCCACUUGCUCCAGGUUCCCAGGGCUGGAGGUCAGAAGUAGAUGAAGGCAUAAAAAUCCACAAUUAAGAGUGUCCAUGACACCCAGAGCCAAAAGAAGCCCAGGGAAGUACGUGCUCCAAACCACAGCAGAAAUGUAGUGAGAGCUCUGGAGGGAACAAAAGAAAGAGGAAGCCUGAAGAAAGGAAAAAACGUCUCCCCACAAGUUGUUUUGCUUUUUUUCAUUGAUUGUCUCUUCUAUCAUCUGCUGGAAACCCAGAAAAAUAAAGGUCAGGAGAAGCAUGGUUUA